UUUGAAAAUAAUAAAAAGUCUAAUCUGCCCACUGAAUUUAUUUAAAGGGCUGCAGUAUAUUGACUGUACAAAGGUAGCAUAAUCAAUAGUCUUUUAAUUGAAGACUUGUAUGAAUGAUUUGAUGAAAUAUGAACUGUCUCUUUUUUAAAAAUAAAAUUUAAUUUUUUAGUUAAAAAGCUAAAAUAAUUAUAAAAGACGAGAAGACCCUAUAGAGUUUUAUAGUUAUUUAAUUUAAAAAUUUUAUAUAUAAUUUAAAUUUAAAAUUAAUUAAUUAUUUUAUUGGGGUGAUAGAAAAAUUAAAAAAACUUUUUUUAAAAAUUUAACAUUAAUUUAUGAAAUUAUGAUCCAUAAUUUAUGAUUAAAAGAAUCAAUUACCUUAGGGAUAACAGCGUAAUUUUUUUUUUUAGUACAAAUAAGAAAAAGAGUUUGCGACCUCGAUGUUGGAUUAAGAUAAAAUUUAAAUGCAAAAGUUUAAAAUUUUUGAUCUGUUCGAUCAUUAAAAUCUUACAUGAUCUGA
rnacentral:rRNA from 1 species